rnacentral:rRNA from 1 species
CAGCCGCCGCGGGAAUACAGAGGGUGCGAGCGUUAAUCGGAUUUACUGGGCGUAAAGCGUGCGUAGGCGGCUUUUUAAGUCGGAUGUGAAAUCCCUGAGCUUAACUUAGGAACUGCAUUCGAUACUGGGAAGCUAGAGUAUGGGAGAGGAUGGUAGAAUUCCAGGUGUAGCGGUGAAAUGCGUAGAGAUCUGGAGGAAUACCGAUGGCGAAGGCAGCCAUCUGGCCUAAUACUGACGCUGAGGUACGAAAGCAUGGGGAGCAAACAGGAUUAGAUACCCCUGUAGUCCCUGUCUCUUAUAA